GAUGAACGCUGGCGGCGUGCCUAAUACAUGCAAGUCGAGCGAACAGACGAGGAGCUUGCUCCUCUGACGUUAGCGGCGGACGGGUGAGUAACACGUGGAUAACCUACCUAUAAGACGGGGAUAACUUCGGGAAACCGGAGCUAAUACCGGAUAAUAUAUUGAACCGCAUGGUUCAAUAGUGAAAGACGGUUUUGCUGUCACUUAUAGAUGGAUCCGCGCCGCAUUAGCUAGUUGGUAAGGUAACGGCUUACCAAGGCAACGAUGCGUAGCCGACCUGAGAGGGUGAACCGCCACACGGGAACUGAGACACGGCACAGACUCCGACGGGAGGCCGCAGUAGGGAAUCUUCCGCGAUGGGGGAAAGCCUGACGGAGCAACGCCGCGUGAGUGAUGAAGGUCUUCGGAUCGGAGAACGCUGUUAUUAGGGGAGAACAAAUGUGUAAGUAACUAUGCACGUCUUGACGGUACCUGAUCAAAAAGCCACGGCUAACUACGUG
rnacentral:rRNA from 1 species